rnacentral:rRNA from 1 species
AGCAGUAGCCGCGGUAAUACGGAGGGAGCUAGCGUUGUUCGGAAUUACUGGGCGUAAAGCGCGCGUAGGCGGUUACUCAAGUCAGAGGUGAAAGCCCGGGGCUCAACCCCGGAACUGCCUUUGAAACUAGGUGACUAGAAUCUUGGAGAGGUCAGUGGAAUUCCGAGUGUAGAGGUGAAAUUCGUAGAUAUUCGGAAGAACACCAGUGGCGAAGGCGACUGACUGGACAAGUAUUGACGCUGAGGUGCGAAAGCGUGGGGAGCAAACAGGAUUAGAUACCCCCGUAGUCCCUGUCUCUUAUAC